AAUUUAUUAUUACACCCCCAAGUCAGAAAAUUGGUAAUCAGUGAGUUUCACUUUUGAGUCUCUAUUGUUUUCAUCAAUUUGACUUUAGCCUUUCAUCUUUUAAUUACAACAAUUAAGUAAUUAAAUUUGAACUCGUGUUUCAAUGUGGUCCUCCCAUCUCUUAAUAUAAGACUGUAUUAACUUAGUUUAAGAGCAAUUGGGCGUCGGGUUGGGGUUGUACGACAAAUUAUAUGUUUCACUAAAAUUUCAUUUUGAUUCCUCAUUUGUGAACAUAUGCUUAAAUUUUAAACGGUGAAAUUGCAUGCAUUCCAUUUUCUAACAUAAAAUAGUCAUACAAUUAUUUUACGUGGUUAGAUAAUUUUCUAACAUAAAAUAGUUGUUUUCAUACACUCGUUCCAUUCUACACAUUUCUACAAAAUUUGGGUUGGUGAUUAUCUAAGUUCGUUUCAAUUACACAUUUUAGCCAGCAAUCUUGACAAGGUGCUCUCCUCGUAAGCUUUUGAAAGUGAACGCAUCACUUAACAAUGAUCACGAGUUUGCCAUUAAGAACAUUCACUAUGGAGGUCUACUGCACCUGUCUUGAUCUGUUGCCACGGGCAUCCAUGGUGCAAAUCUUGGAGCGUUUCAAUCUGAAGUCAUGCGCUCUCUGGUUGCAUUCCGGCGGAGUCCAGACUAUCACCCCCUCUGACGUUAGUAUGAUACUCUGCUUCCGCCAUACAGAAAUUCUGAUGUCAACUGAUCCCUCACCCGCUGUGCUUGCUACUCUGAAACGGUAGUUCUAUAUAGGCAGAGGGGGCAUAUCAUUGACCACACUUGGGGUGAUACAGAUUGGCCAGCACAACGAGUAGUUCAUCAUGCUUGCAUCUUGUACAACCUUGUUUGUUUUUUGUGCCCUUCAAGCAAGGAUGUUGCUGGACCCAAAUUGUAUGUGGCUUUGGAUGACGUUUUCAGGCUUCACGAGUAUGAUUGGCCCCAAUUCAUCCUCUACUGGUUGGUGAAUGAGGUUAAAAAGUACAAGAAUCGUUCCUCCGCCUCACAAACGUCUUUAACUUCAAGUGUUGGUGGCUACCUGUUUUUGUUGAUGAUAAUAUAUUUUGAGCAUGCUCAGAUGGGCAUGAACCUUGUUGCCACUAGUGUCAAUGGGAUUCUGUUGUUGGCCUUCUGGACCAUGGAGCAUGUGAAGGAGCAAUUGGGCCUCGAGGCUAAUGAGGUUGCCCACAUUCCGUCAGACUUAUAGUUGCAGUAUACGGCCACUCAAGGUGUGUACAAAGUGUUUGUUAAUGAAACCAUUCCACUUCUUUGUCGGGAGCAGAUGGAGUAUCUUCGUGGCAUUGAUGCCAUUCUGAUGGCUGAAGGGUAGCCAUCUUCCAUUGUUAUCCCUCCAUAUGGACAGACGCCAUUUAUGCCACAGUGUAGCCAAUAUGUUCCUUUGAACAGCCCUUCACCAUAUUCGCCUCUUCAUGCAAGCCCCAUCAGUCACCACGUCCGUACGCCUCCAUCAACAGUCGUACCUAUAUUCAAGGAUCAAAUCGUUAGGACUUGAAUGUGAACCAUUAAAAAUUGCUCUAACUGAUAUCAAGGUCAUUCAAAGGCAACACUCACACGUAUGAAGGAGAACUAAUGGAGGACAGUGAGGUCGAGUUUGACCCUAAUGAGGAACCAGUGAAAAUCAUUGAAAUUGAAUCUAACCCAUAGGAGAAACCAUAAAUUGAGUUUGUUCCUGAAGAACUUGUGGAAGAGACAAAGUGUAGAGAAGUUUUGAAUAUUUUUGGGGGGUUUCCCACUAUUUUGGUCGUUGGUCUCUCUAUAUCUCUCACAAAGCUUCCUUUUCCUCUUUUGGCUAUUUACACAUCCAUCAAAGAGGUAAUGUUGCACUAAUCCUUGUGCUAACUUAGGUUACUUUUGUAUAAGCAAUGUACUAAUGAAUUUCUUAUUCAACGAGUUAGAUAAGAAGUUUAAGCUUGUA